UACGUAGGGUGCAAGCGUUAAUCGGAAUUACUGGGCGUAAAGCGUGCGCAGGCGGCUUGCAAGACAGAUGUGAAAUCCCGGGCUCACCUGGGAACUGCAUUUGUGACUGCAAGGCUAGAGUACGGUAGAGGGGGAUGGGAAUUCCGCGUGUAGCAGUGAAAUGCGUAGAUAUGCGGAGGAACACCGAUGGCGAAGGCAAUCCCUGGACCUGUACUGACGCUCAUGCACGAAAGCGUGGGAGCAACGAGG
rnacentral:rRNA from 1 species